rnacentral:lncRNA from 1 species
AAUGUGAUAGAGGAAUGAUCCAGAGACUUUGAAGGACAGAACCUGGAAGAAAUUGCAAGGAUUUCCAUCCACAGCGGGGGAUGGUUGAGGAGGCUUGGAAUAUUGAGGGAAGAGAGAUUCCAGGUGGGAGGCAGUUGAUCUUUCUAUCUUGAGACAGCAAAGGUGCAGGUCUGAUCAGAGACUGGAACCUGAGCCUUACAAAAUCCCUCAUUGAACUUAACCACCAUUUCCCCCCAAAGAUACCAAGAAGUGUGGCAGAUACCGGAGAAGAAUAAGAACAGCAUAACAAGAUCUCGCAGAGCUCCUAUGACACCCCAGAUCUGGACAUUGGCCCUGCUGGGAUAAAGACUAGGGGUCACAAACCUGAACCUCUCAGAGACCAGGCUGGCAAGACUGAGUCUCUCAACUUUGGAGGGAGGGAAAAAGAUAUUUUAGACAGAUAGGGACUUCCUUUCCCCUCUUUGCUAUAGACCCCAAUCUUCAGACAUCUUUCUUAUUUUACCCCUAACCACAAUUUGUUAGAAUAAAGUUGUCAGUUAUCCUAAAUUGGCUUCCUUGUCAUAGUGGAAGAGGGAGAGAGCUGAUUUCUCUCUCUCUCUCUUUCCCCAAGGGAAGAGGUUCACCCAUUAAAUAAGUUAUUAGAGGGGAGUAAAGGCAGGGUUCGUGGGGAGACAUAUUUGAGGAAGACUGAAGGGGGGAAUCCAUCUCACCCUCCUUCUACCUUUUGGGCAUUUAUCAUCAACUCUUUCUCCAUUAUACCCACACCAACCCUCUACUACAACAACAGCCCUGGAAGUGCUCUAUUUAUCAUGGAAGAUCCUUAAAAGUUGACCCACUGCAGGACUUCCUUUCUUUGAAUGAAGCCUGAGGAUUCCCCGGCCCCAAAAUGGCCUUAUUUGCCUGGGAUGUUCAACAUACUGAAUGUAAUGUUGUUAUGCUGGUUGUAAUUAGGCAGGUAGCAUCUAAGCACUUUGCGCAUCUCCAUAACAUGGUACCAAAACGUGGUGUAUUGCCUCCCUAGGAAUCUUACACAGCCAUCCCUUCCACACUGCAACUUUCCCCAUCAUUGCUUUGAUACACUGCGGGUCAGAAUAAGAAAUUAAAUGGGAAUUUGGGGGGAAAUUACAGGAGACACAUGUGAGGGCCAGCAGAUGACACAGGACAGAUUUAGAAACUCAAAAAUGCAUAAAAUAAAAAAAUAUAGUAUUAUAUAAUAUCA